rnacentral:lncRNA from 1 species
AAGUAUGAACCUAAAAACAGUUCUGAGAUGGAUUAUUAAUGGCGUCGUUUGGAGGUCAAAGAGUUAUUGGAUCUUGCUGAAAAUUGAUGGAGUUAUUCAUGGUACUACAUGCUAAAGAAUAAACGGUGAAAUUGAGUUUUCAACGGUUAAUUUCUGAUUUAAUCAUGCAUUUCUGAGAUGGUUUGGUAUAGAGCAAAUUAUGAUAAGAUUUAUUGUUUGGUUGGUAAAAUGAGCUUGGAUGAGCCGAAGCUCUGCAUGAGCAUUUAUGAGGCAUUGAUCUAUGUCUCGGUUGAUGGAAAACUAAUCUUGAAACCUAUGUUCGAACCGUAGCGUCUCCGACAAAAUGCGAAGGUGAGGGUGGUAAUCGUGGAAACAAAAUGGUUAUCCUCUAAGCAUGUUCUUCAUAAAUUGUUUGUAUAGGUUUGGAAACUAUGUGCUUGUUUGUAUGUUCGUUGAUUGAUAUUGUGUGAUAUGGUAGGAUGGUAUGAUGUAUGAUAGGAAAACUUUAUAUAUAACAUGCAUCAUAUGAUAUGAGUUGUUGUGGUGGGGGCACGAACCUAAGAUUGGUUUUGUGUUUCAUGAUGGGCGAACCUAGGAUUGGUUUCGGGCCUGGCGAUUAGACGAGCCUGAGACUGGUUUCGUGCAAUACAAAGCCGAUGGGAUUUCGGUUUAGCGUUAUUGUCGAUUUUGUAUAUGGUUGGAUAUUGUAUUAAAAUGUUAUGUUGUUGGACGUAUGGUUGAGAAUAUGGAGUCUCA